GGAGUCUAGCAUGUGCGCGAGUCAUUGGGCUCUAUUGUUAUGUGUGAAACCCAGAGGCGAAAUGAAAGUGAAGGCGCGCGGCUUGCGCGCUAAGGGAAGAUGAGCAAUCCAGUGUGUGGUUGCUCCGCACUCCCGGGGCGUCGCGUUCCUCAUCCCCCGUUUGCGCGGGUGGGCGAGGUGCGGCGCACCCAGAGCGUACACGCUGGGACCCGAAAGAUGGUGAACUAUGCCUGAUCAGGACGAAGUCAGGGGAAACCCUGAUGGAGGUCCGUAGCGAUUCUGACGUGCAAAUCGAUCGUAAGAAUUGGGUAUAGGGGCGAAAGACUAAUCGAACCAUCUAGUAGCUGGUUCCCUCCGAAGUUUCCCUCAGGAUAGCUGGCUCUCGUAUACAUAUACGCGAGUCUCAUCUGGUAAAGCGAAUGAUUAGAGGCAUUGGGGUCGAAACGGCCUCAACCUAUUCUCAAACUUUAAAUGGGUGGGAUCUCCGGCUUGCUUGAACGUUGAAGCCGCGCGAGAUCGGAUCAGAGUGCCAAGUGGGCCAUUUUUGGUAAGCAGAACUGGCGCUGUGGGAUGAACCAAACGCUGAGCUAAAGCGCCCAAAUCGACGCUUAUGGGAUACCAUGAAAGGCGUUGGUAACUUAAGACAGCAGGACGGUGGCCAUGGAA
rnacentral:rRNA from 1 species